GCGAAAGGCCAAAAGAGAAACUGAAAAAUGAAAUCAAAGAUCAGUGCUUUUUUCAAACCCGAUUCUUCUGCACAAAAAGAAGACGAAGACCAGUCUCCAUUUACUGUCAAUUUUGGCAAUUAUUCUUAAAAAAUUAUAACAGGGCCAGAAAUCAUCACCACAUACAAGCGCAGGACUGCAUGCUUAGAUAGAAUCAAUUAAUCAAGAUUCAGAGGAGAAAUUCACAUAUUUGGGACUGCCCAAGUGUUGGAAAGAUUCUGAACAAAAGAGAAACUAUGCCCAAUUACACUUGGAGGUUGGUCAGUCUAAUUUUUUACUGCACACAUGUAAAGAAUGCGGGGUCAAGUAUGCUCCUGGUGAUGAAGGUUAUGAGAGGAUUCACAAGACAGUUCACAAGAAUUACAUCCAUGUUAUACGUCACUUGAUUUUACGAGGUUGGCGAAAUGAAAAGAUUAUUGAUGUGCCUUUGCUUGAAAGAGGGCGCAUUAUUUUGGUGCAAGGAGAUGAUCCUCAUACUCAGCAAAACAAGAUUCAGGAUCUUGUCAAGAUGAUGGAAAUGGAACUUGGAGACGGGUGGAUACUCCAUAAGAACUGCAAGGGUAUCUGGGAUGUCUAGUUACAGAAUCAAUAAAGAAGGCAUACAGGAUUUUCCCAAACUCAGUAAUCAAAAAAGAUGAUAAACAAGGACUAGUUCGGUUGCCCUUCAAUUUGGCAAUGUCAGUUUCGAGAGGGAAAUCAUUAGAAGGGAUUCUUCUGCUGUAGAGUCAGAGAAAGGCAUUGAUGGAAUAAUUUUGUGUGAGGAUGAGGCAGUACCUGCUGUUUGCAGCAUUAGAGCCAUUUAGGUCGCUCCCUAUAACAGGAGAAAGCGCAUAGCCACUAAUCUACUUGAAGCAGCAAGGAAGAGCUUUUGCACAAGCGCAAUUCUUGAACACACACAGCUAGCCUUACCUCAGCCUACCUCACUUGGAAAGGCUUUGAUAUCCUGUUAUACAGGAGGUUCUUUCUUGGUCUACACAACGGCUGAUCUAAACUAAGGAUGUGCCACCACUAUAAAAGAAUCCUGCCAGCUAAGGGAGUGGGGAGCUACAUGUGAAGAAAUGAAAGAAGAAGACAAAGCACCUUUUGACAAAUGUGUAUGAAGGACAAUAAUACAUGUGAAGACAUUGAAGAUAAAGAGCAAUAAUAGAAAAAGAUACUAUUUGGAUAGAAAAGUUGAACCAACAUAUUAAGAUGUAGGCCCAAUGAAGAAAAUAGAGAGGUAGGAGUGUCUUUGCUGAUGUAAUCAAUGAUAUAAUAAAGUCUCAUAAACCUGUAUAAAUAGAGACAUUACCAUAGAAGAAAAUCAGAUCAUUCUAUCUUGAAUUCUCGAGUUGUAAGCAAUAGCCCAUUCUCAUUUUGAUAAACUAGUUUUUCUGGGAAUCCCUUUUUAUCAAAUAGAAGU